AGGUACGCAAAGAUUUCAGCAGUGAUCUUUGGUCUUGUCUUCCUGAAAGGAGGAACACAAAAAAAAGGCCAGUUCAUGUGCAUGAUCAGCGACAGUGAAAUACCAACGACGACUACUGGCAAUGGGGCCAAGGAAUACAGUGGCCAGCAUCUGCCUGAAAGUGAUGAGGACCAGCCGGUUCAUCCCCUGGUUCAGCGCCUGCUUGAGCAGCGCGGUCAUGACGGCGAUCACGACGUUCGUCGCCACCAUCGCCGCCGUCGGCAUCCACUCCUCCACGCAUCCUGCACUCCACAUUUUCAGUCCGUCUGCCUCGAUGAUCUGAUGGGCAAUUUGUUUCUGGUUAUGCCAUGGUUUUUAUAGGGGUGGUGACAGGCGAAGGUCCGGAAAAUGGCAUCUCAAGGCAUGUCUCCGACUCACGGUUUCGUUUUCGCACACGUGACCGAGAGCUAAAACAUGGCCCGGGGAAGAGGAGCACAUCGUUUGUUCUCUUAAUGUCUGAAUAAUUGUGGGAAAUUUGCCGUAUCGAGCAAAUUGCGCACCCGGCUGAAUCGAAUAGCUGUCUCUUUAUUGCAUAGUGCGAAGGAACAAAGUGGUACUGUCGCCGAGGCAUCCCUGCUCUUUCCCCACAGCAGAAUAUAGAGGCCCAAGAUCAUCAGUAUGGAUCCCAGCACACUGCAAGGGCAAAACAAAAAAUACAAAAGUAUGGGAAAUGAAUGAAUGAUCAUGAGACUGUACUGAUUUAAUAUCUGAGGCAAAUCUGGUUUACCUUCCAAGGUAGAUGUUCUCAUGGAGAAAGAAGAAAUCAAUUAUGGCCACCAU